CACUUAUCCAGAAAGGCGGAGGGACUUGGCCCUGCGAUGCCUUAGCAACCUUUCCGGACCAGCAUUUGGUCGGGAAAAAGGUGCUAAUUCCUGCCCCGGUAUUACCGGGGAAAGAUAAGUU
rnacentral:ncRNA from 2 species